CCCAACCUUCUCGCUCCCGAUCCAACUUCCUCCCGAGAAAAUUCAUCCCCUCCGGCCUCGACUCGGCCUCCUCUCCUAUGCCACUCGCCUUCUCCACAGCCGCCCGCCCACAGGUUGUCCGCCGCCGCUUCGAGGGCUAGCAUCCCCGCGUCCCUCCUUCGUUCCAGUACCCGAUUGGACUGCACGAGUGCCCCCACCGCACCAUCAGGGGGCACCGCGGGAGUACAGCCACCGCACCGCCAGGGUACCACCGCGUGUGCCGGCGAUGCGUGAGCCGCCGCUUGUGCGGCAUCGAUUGCCGCUUCCAACGAUGCAGGAGCCACUCAAUCCGGCGAGGAUGCCGGGCGCUGUCACCACUGAUUCUCAGGGUGUGCGUGCCGCAUCCGAAACUCCCCUAAUGUGCUCCUCCACUCCGCUUAUAACAUGUCGUUCAUCCAUGGCUCUCUGUUGCUAUGCGCCGUUGAGCUCUGGAGCCGCUGCCGUCGAAGCCCAUCGCCAGCCGUCCUCGGGUGGGCCGACGCCCAAACUCGGCUCCAGUGACAUCCCCGCUAGAGGUCCUCCUCCACCUCUUCUUCUAUUAGAGGUGUUGUCAAGAAUUUCAUCGCACCCACUGCUUUCCCUCCGAGGUAGUUGCCGCCUGCAGCCAUGCACAAGUGUCAUCACCUGCAUCUCCUCUGUGUGUUCCCGUCUCUCCAUGCCGCACGAGGAUGCAGUCAUCACAUCUGUGAGUAGUGAUGUUAACCCCAUAAAAAGGACCGCAGGUGGACAUCUGCUAUAAAUAAUCAGGUACUUCUUUCUCAUUAUCAAAGUGAAAUGCUCAGUGAAACUAUCCAAUGGAUGGACUGGUUAUUUAACACUGAAUGAUCAGAGCUUUAUUCUCUUCUUUUCUCCUCUUCCAUCCACUAAAACAUCUGCAUUGCAUGCUUCUUACUUCUCUGAGUGCUUAAACAUAAAUAAGAAAACCGAAUUCUCUAUGGGCAUGAAUAAUCUUUCGAUUCAAACAGAAAAAUCAAAAUGUGGUUCCAGUUCCGGGAGGUAUGGCGUGGUUUCUUUGUUGGCAUGUGCAUGUGUUGUUUGUCUGUUGCCGGGUGGAUUGCACAGUGGUGGUGCCGGGAGCCAGGGGUCAUCAGAGAAGAGAGAUGCUGACGUCACUCAAAACGAGCCUUGCUUGGCAUUGACUGAAUCCUCCACACAUUAUUUGUUGGCAAUUGAGCCUUGCUUGGCACGUGCUUGGCAUUGACUGAAUCAUACAGUGGCGAGCUUGUAUCCCGGCCAACCUCUUCAUCUUGAUUUUUUAGAAGCUAACUCACUUCAAAAGGAGGCCUGGAUUACCUUAUAUUCAGCAUUGAUCACACAGACUAGAUUUUUUUAAGAUGGAAAAGUCUGACAAUUGAAAACCUAUCCGAGAAUCAUGCUUGUUUGUGUGCUGCAAUUUGCACCUAGAGAGGUCUCCUGCCAUAUACGCUCGCCAAGAUCUUUGUCGUAGUCAUUAGGAUGCGGGAUGGCAUUGUCGGGAUACACGCUCGCCAAGGUCUCCUGCCAUAUAGGCCCGUGAGAGAUCCAGGGCGUGUUACUCUGCAGCAUCAUGACCACAAUGGUGCCUUGGUUUUGAAAAUACAAUUUGAAUGGCAUCACAACAUUUAGUAGACAUUUUUUUCAACAGUUGCUUUAUUUUUUAUACCGUGUGAAUCUCCCUUGGUUAACGCUUGAGACGUGUGUUACACAUGAUUAAUUUUUCGCGCCUUAUUGUUGUUGCUGUUGCCCGUGAGGUACUUGAAAAAAUUCUCGGCAUGUGGCGCUCUUCAAUGACGUGUUCUCUUUUGAAGAGCAAGCAGACAAAGCAUGAGAGCGCUAUGAUCCUACAAAUUCUUGACUGCUUCUAUACCCGUGUAUUUGUUUUAUCUUUUAUUUUUGACUUAUUUUAUUCUCUUGAGUACUCCCUCCGUUCCGAAUUACUUGUCUUAGAUUUGUCUAGAUACGGAGGUAUCUAGCACUAAAAUGAGUCUAGAUACAUCUGUAUCUAGAAAAAUCCAAGACAAGUAAUUCGGAACGGAGGGAGUACUACAUAAGAGGUGUCUUUGCAGAGCUUAAGAACGAUUUAUGGGUUGGAGCACACUAAUACUGUAUUGAAAAGGGAUAGACAGCCAACCAGUGGUAGACUUCCCUUUUUGAUUGACUCUGGAUCUAAAGAAGUAUAAGCAUGUAGAGGAACUGGUGGUCCACCUUGCUACUACAAAUGGACAGCCUGAUUUUAUCCAUGUGUUGGACUAAAUGAUAUUUGAUGAUUUGAGCCUUGCACCGGUAGGGUUUCCACAACACUAGGUAUGAUCUAAACAAUGGCUGAAAAUAUUUAUUGGAGCAUUUGUUUCAAACAAAUUUGUUGAAAGACAUUUCAAAUAUUUUAGUGCUUGUGAUAUAUUUUAGAUAGUACCACUUUAAUGUGGCGUGGUACAGUUUGCCUUCUAUCAUGAACUUCGAACACUUCUAAAAAAUAUGCAAGAUAAUUUCCCUUUCAGCUGGCAAUUGGGUUAAAUUCAUGUACACAUCAGCACUCGGUAUCUCUAAAAACUAUAUGUGUGGGAACUCUUGAAGUAAAAUACGAUAUUGUCAGCUCGAUUGUUAUUUUAGUCAACAAAAUAUUUAAAAUUUUAAUGAAAAUGUGCAACAUCCAAUAAUAUAGUAGGUAUUAAUUAACAUUUAUAGUGAUUAUCAACAUCUUCGUUAAAUACGAUAUUUUUGCAUUGCGGAUGUCCAAUGAUUCUGGCUAUAUGCACUGGAGUUUAAUCCAUGUAUGUGAACUAAUUAGAUAUCUAUGUGAAUUUAGAGAUACAUAUGUGUUUGAGAUGAUUUCAGAGUACCAUUACCGGCCCUGUAGGUCCAUCGUAAUUCGAUUGUUCUGAUUUUUUUUCAUUUUUUUUACUUAACGAAGAUGUAUUUUCACUAUGAAGUUUAAUAAUUAAUAACUAUUGGGUGUGUUCCGCAACGCAAUACACAAUGAAUUGGAUUCUCCUUGGCAUGAGGCGACAUGCCUUUGAAUUACCAAGUUUUAUUUGGUUGUUUGUUUCAUGUGUUAAUUAUGUAAUUGUACCAAUGUCCAUUCAUACGAAAAUGCAGGGUACUACAAUGAUGAAUGUAUGAUUUUGGUAGUUCCAUAAAAUAAAUAAAAUAUAGGACAUUGAAAUGUAGGGGUUGAGGUUUACAAGUCUACUGGAGUUAAAAAAUAUUUAGGUGAGGAUCUUUAUAGAUGAGUCCCUAUACAUAGAUUGAUGGGAGAUAUUUUAGGGGACAUGUUAAGUUUCUCUAACUCCGGUUCAUGAUUCCUCGGAAAUCCUCCCAUGGAAAUCCUCCCAACCAUAACCAUUUACGGUAAACAACAUAUUUUGUUACUAUUUUAGUUAUCUUUUUAUCAAAUUUUCUUUAGUGAAAGCAAUUUCAUCAUAAAAUCGAGUUCUACAUCGAGAACUCCCAUGAUGGCCACGCGUCAAGAGCCCGUAAGGAGGUAGAGUUCGUGAAGUACAUGUUCGACCGCGACAACCCCCAAGCAUGUGUCCCCGUACCCGAUGAUGGGAAGAGGAUAAGUAGAACACUUAUUAGUUGUUAGAGGGUGCAAGGAUUUUGUUUCUCCCGUUGCAACACACUAGCAUAUUUACUCGAUUAAACAUAUAUAGAAUUCAGAAGGCAUCUUUUAUAUUUGAGAGACGUGCGUUGCACGUGCACGCUUACUAGUAUGUCCUAAAUGUAUAUGUUUUGUUCCGGUAUAUAUGAGAAUUAUCCGGCUUGC